rnacentral:rRNA from 1 species
UACGAAGGGGGCUAGCGUUGCUCGGAAUCACUGGGCGUAAAGCGCACGUAGGCGGAUCUUUAAGUCAGGGGUGAAAUCCUGGAGCUCAACUCCAGAACUGCCUUUGAUACUGGGGAUCUCGAGUCCGGGAGAGGUGAGUGGAACUGCGAGUGUAGAGGUGAAAUUCGUAGAUAUUCGCAAGAACACCAGUGGCGAAGGCGGCUCACUGGCCCGGUACUGACGCUGAGGUGCGAAAGCGUGGGUAGCAAACAGG